CACAUGCAAGUCGAGUGCGCGGUUGUAGCAAUACAACUGGCGCACGGCGCACGGGUGCGUAACACGUGGGUAACCUGCCCUUUGGUGGGGAAUAACUCCGCGAAAGCGGAGCUAAUUCCGCAUAAGAUCCGCAAGGAUGAAAGCCGCAAGGCGCCGAAGGAGGGGCCCGCGCCCGAUUAGCUAGUUGGUGAGGUAAUGGCUCACCAAGGCUUUGAUCGGUAGCUGGUCUGAGAGGAUGAUCAGCCACACUGGAACUGAGACACGGUCCAGACUCCUACGGGAGGCAGCAGUGGGGAAUCUUGCACAAUGGGCGAAAGCCUGAUGCAGCGACGCCGCGUGGGGGAUGAAGCAUUUCGGUGUGUAAACCCCUUUCGAUCCGGACGAAACCCCGCAAGGGAUUGACGGUACGGAUAUAAGAAGCCCCGGCUAACUACGUGCCAGCAGCCGCGGUAAGACGUAGGGGGCCAGCGUUGUUCGGAAUUACUGGGUGUAAAGGGUUCGUAGGCGGUGUAGCAAGUCGGGAGUGAAAUCUCUGGGCUUAACCCAGAGGCUGCUUCCGAAACUGCUGUGCUUGAGUGUGGGAGA
rnacentral:rRNA from 1 species